UUUGAAAUUACUUUUCUUGUUGUGUCUGUUAAGGUUUUGUUUCCUGUGUUUUUCCCUCCAGUGUCUCUUCCCCUCACCUGUUCCCACUUCCCCAAUCAGCCCUGCAGUCACAGCUUCCUGUUCCUUGGAUUCCUUGUUGCUCCUUGAUGGAUUUGUUUUCCUGUGUUGUACUGCCUUCUUUGGAUCUUCAACUUCUCCAUCUCCAUCUACCUUACUUCUCUAAUUGGAACACCAUCUGAAUCAGCUAUCAUGGAAGCCACUGCUCUUCUGUGGCCAACACAGACAAUGAUGGCCACAGCAGACCCUGGAUUAAUUACGCUGAGGUAGGAGUCAUCACUUCACAACUUCUAAUUAACAGCAGAUAAAAGGAGUGAGGAGGAGAAAGGGAUGACAGCAAGACAGGAUUUGGCAUUAAACUGGCAGCAUUUCCAUUACAAGGAAGACUGAGCACUGAGCACCCAGCACUACAGCUGUAAUUCAGUUAGCAUGGCUGUCUUCAGGAUUAAUUCUGAGAAACACAAGCACUAAGAACUAACAGCCAGUUGUCUUAAAUAUUGCGUAAGGUAUACAGAUGCUCCACAAGUUCAUGCAUGCAGUAUAUUUACCACUCUGCUUUCCAUCAAGCAAAGUGCCCCUCCGCAAGAAAUGGGUCCUCUAAGAAAUAUCCAUAUAUUUUUUUCCACAAUACUGCUUU